GGGGGAUUAGCUCAGUUGGGAGAGCGCUUGCAUGGCAUGCAAGAGGUCAUCGGUUCAAGUCCGUUAUCCUCCAC
rnacentral:tRNA from 2 species